UUACGGCCAUAUCACGUUCAAAGACCGGUUCCCGUACGAUUACCGAAGUUAAGCAACGUCGAGCCUGGUCGGUGCCAAGAUGGGCGACCGCUUGGGAAUAUCAGAUUUUGU